GGGACGCGCAAAGGACCGCUCAUACUUGAAUGCAGCCCUAGACAUACUUAUGUUGUACAUAAGUAUCCUGCUGUAGGGAAAGUCCCCGGGCAACUUUCGGCGCUGAAUCCUGAAAGGGUCUCCUAUGGAGGUAGCGGUAGCCUUUGGAGGAGCGACAGGGUUCUAUGGAUCUCCCUGCUUGGUCAUGGUGUAUUAUGGAGCGGUAUGCGUAUGGGUAGGCUCUCGCAUACGUUGAUUCUAUCGGAAAGCGGGUCUCUGUGUAGGGACAGAUCCGCGUAUGUGAAAGCCUCAACGAUAUGCAUAUACUAACCAUGCGCGCUAUGGCCUUGAUGAGCAAGGGUGUACUAUAGAACGUUGUGAGUCUGUGCUAUUGGAAGCAACAAGCGUGAUGUGGGCGGAAACGCAGUAGAUGUGCGAAGAUACGAGCCGCUACUGCUGCACUGCGUACGUCGCGUGGAGCUGGAUCGCACUGCACCUCUGCAAAGGAGGAACUACUGGCUAUCGCUGUAGGAGGGCAUGUGAAUGCGUUCGCGCCACACGUUCGUCACAUCUAUACAGUUAUGCGGUCGCCGACAUGUGCGGUAACACAAUGGGGCUUACUCUUGUGCGUCC
rnacentral:RNase_MRP_RNA from 1 species